UAUUGUUCGACAACGGAAUGGUUGGCUUUGUUCAGAACGUUAAAUGGAUCUGAGUACAAUUAUGGGAACAGUUUACCUCUAUAUAAUGGGCUACCAAGCCAGAAGAAAAAAACGGCGGAAGAGAAGCAACGUAACAACCCAAGCUAAGCCCUGAGAUACUAGGAGGGAUGUUUUGCAGAUAAGAGCAGUAUAUUCUGAGUGGAGAAAUCCAGGACACGCGAAGAAGACCCUUGAUAAACAGGUACAGCUCGGCCAGCUCAGCUUUUAAUACAAAAAUAAGCCAUUAUCAACUGCAAUAAAAAAAAUAGAUCUAUAAUGAUAAA